UGGGGAAUAUUGGACAAUGGGCGAAAGCCUGAUGCAGCCGUGCCGCGUGUGUGAAGAAGGUCUUCGGAUUGUAAAGCACUUUAAGUUGGGAGGAAGGGCAGUUACCUAAUACGUGAUUGUUUUGACGUUACCGACAGAAUAAGCACCGGCUAACUCUGUGCCAGCAGCCGCGGUAAUACAGAGGGUGCAAGCGUUAAUCGGAAUUACUGGGCGUAAAGCGCGCGUAGGUGGUUUGUUAAGUUGGAUGUGAAAUCCCCGGGCUCAACCUGGGAACUGCAUUCAAAACUGACUGACUAGAGUAUGGUAGAGGGUGGUGGAAUUUCCUGUGUAGCGGUGAAAUGCGUAGAUAUAGGAAGGAACACCAGUGGCGAAGGCGACCACCUGGACUGAUACUGACACUGAGGUGCGAAAGCGUGGGGAGCAAACA
rnacentral:rRNA from 1 species